rnacentral:rRNA from 1 species
AUUAAUUUUAUGCUUGCAUAAAUGAUUUUUGGAUUCGGAGCGAGUGGCGAACUGGUGAGUAACACGUGGGUAACCUGCCCCGAAGCGGGGGAUAACAUUUGGAAACAAAUGCUAAUACCGCAUAAUUAGUCAGAACCGCAUGGUUCCGACUUGAAAGAUGGCUCUGCUAUCACUUCGGGAUGGACCCGCGCCGUAUUAGUUAGUUGGUGAGAUAAAAGCCCACCAAGACGAUGAUACGUAGCCGACCUGAGAGGGUAAUUGGCCACAUUGGGACUGAGACACGGCCCAGACUCCUACGGGAGGCAGCAGUAGGGAAUCUUCCACAAUGGACGAAAGUCUGAUGGAGCAACGCCGCGUGAGUGAUGAAGGGUUUCGGCUCGUAAAACUCUGUUGUUAAAGAAGAACAAGCAUGAGAGUAACUGUUCAUGCUUUGACGGUAUUUAACCAGAAAGCCACGGCUAACUACGUGCCAGCAGCCGCGGUAAUACGUAGGUGGCAAGCGUUGUCCGGAUUUAUUGGGCGUAAAGCGAGCGCAGGCGGUUUUGUAAGUCUGCUGUGAAAGCCCUCAGCUCAACUGAGGAAGUGCAGUGGAAACUACAAAACUUGAGUACAGAAGAGGAAAGUGGAACUCCAUGUGUAGCGGUGAAAUGCGUAGAUAUAUGGAAGAACACCAGUGGCGAAGGCGGCUUUCUGGUCUGUUACUGACGCUGAGGCUCGAAAGCAUGGGUAGCGAACAGGAUUAGAUACCCUGGUAGUCCAUGCCGUAAACGAUGAAUACUAGGUGUUGGAGGGUUUCCGCCCUUCAGUGCCGCAGCUAACGCAUUAAGUAUUCCGCCUGGGGAGUACGACCGCAAGGUUGAAACUCAAAGGAAUUGACGGGGGCCCGCACAAGUGGUGGAGCAUGUGGUUUAAUUCGAUGCUACGCGAAGAACCUUACCAGCUCUUGACAUCUUCUGCCAACCUAAGAGAUUAGGCGUUCCCUUCGGGGACAGAAUGACAGGUGGUGCAUGGUUGUCGUCAGCUCGUGUCGUGAGAUGUUGGGUUAAGUCCCGCAACGAGCGCAACCCUUAUUAUUAGUUGCCAGCAUUAAGUUGGGCACUCUAGUGAGACUGCCGGUGAUAAA